rnacentral:lncRNA from 1 species
GUGGGGGUGCUUUUGUUUGUGUUUUAUCGGGCACAUUAUUUGGUUUUUUGGGUUUUUCCUUGUUUAACAGACUUUUGUCUCUCUCUCUGCACUGAAAUUGGAAUCUCCGCCGGGAUUCGUGAGGCCCGCAGUUCAGAGGUGGUGGUGGGGGAUUGGGGUCCGUGGUGGGGCUAAAGGAAGGAAGAGGCGGAUAUGCAUGUGCCCUUGAUAUUCUCGGGAACUACAAGAGAGCCAUAAUAUAGUACAAUUGUUUUGUUGGUCCACAAUCUAUAGGACUUGUUGCAACUUCGUCUCUAACAUAUUUUCUUAGCCUCGUAGAGUCCCCAACUUGUUUGUUUUAGGGGCAGUGUUUUUGUUCGGAGUUGGUCAUCACGGACAAAAUCC